UUCGGAUGACGGAUCGUACAUUUUGUUACUACGAAGUGUUUCGGAUUCGAUGACGGAUUCGACGACGGAUCCGUAAUCGGAUUUUGACACUUAUGACAUUUUUACUUUCGUCGACCGCACUAUGAAAACCCAUUUGACAUAAAAUACAUCGUUUCUUCGUUCGGAUCUUAACGUCAAUUUUACGAAAGCUCUAAGCCUUUCGUUUGAUUUUCGUUUGGUACUCCAGAGGUUUGAAAAUUGCACAAUAACUCCUGUGUGAAGAAUUGUUGCAAUAGGAAAGUGCUGGGCGAAGUUGAAAGCGUCUCUAACUGCGUAAAACCUUCGUAACAUGGAAUUUGUAAGAGCUUAUAGGACUUUGCCACCCCUUUUGAAACCAUCUGCGAGGAUAUAGUUGUGUAUAGUACACUAAUUCCUCCAAAGAACAUAUACGGGGAAUUGAUACUACCACUAAGGUAAGCUACAGAAGAAAUAUUACUUUCUACCUUUCUCAAAAACCUAGCUGGUAUUAGUAUUGUAGUAUUCUUAACGUCUUAAUGAUCUUGUUUUUGUUUUUUGAUGCAUUGUACUAAAAUGUAAAUAAUAUUUUUCUAAUUUCAUAUUUUGACUGCGCUACAUUUUUAUUCCAGGAGUUGUUAGGGAGCUGUGGAACUAAGUGUAGAUGGGUCCAUGGCCCAGCAAACAGUCUCUGAGUGCCUCAGGCAAGUGUCUGAGUCAGCCUCAUAUAUUGACUAAAUUUAUAAAAUCUCCACAAAACCGACAAGAAAGGACUCUUAUUAAAGAACAAAUCAAAUAAUUAAACAACUACUAACUCGCUAGAGCUGCCAUAACCAACACUGCAUCACGCAUGGAAGAUUAACUACCAAAUAUAUGUUAUCGGAAAAUAAAACAUUAUUACAAUCAUUUUUA